AGGCACCGUUUCCCUGAAAUCCUGCUGUUAAAAAGAGAUCUCCCGUCUCAGUUUUAUUAGAAAACAUCACAAUUUCGUGAGGCUCAUUGUGGAUGAGAAACCUUGUCUGCAUUUCUGGAAACCACAAAUUAAGAUUUUCUGGUGUUACUAGUUUGCCCAGUAGCUCACCGCAUAUGCUGAUGGACUUGAGAUGUGGAGAAAAGUUGACUGGAAUGAUGGGGUUUGAGUCUGGUGAAGAACGGUUCCAGA